GCGCAUGGUAGAUGUAGAGGGCGCCCUUUUUACUUACCAGAAAAUCGCAGCAGACGACAUUCGUGACAUUUUGGCUCCAAAUUUUGACUCUGUCAUUUUCUUGGACCUGGGUGAAAACAUUCGGCGGGCAUAUAUUUAGACAGUAUUGUCAACAUGGGGGACGACCCAUAUGAAGAUGACAGUAAUGAUCCUUCACAGCCACUCCACCAUCCUGCUACCCCAUCGGAGGCUGAGCUUCAGGUUCAGAGGAUGCUGGGAGAACAAUUGCACACUGACAUCUCUAUAGAGCAGCAGGUUUCUAAGAGCAGGUCGUUCACCCCGGCCACGUCAACCUUCAGACCUUUCGUUGAGCGAGCGAGUGGUCAAUUAUCCCUGGAGGAGUUUCAAGCUCUUGAGAAGGAGCACCAAGAACUUGAAGAGUUGAGGGCGUGCGGACUGAACGACCAGGAAAUUGCCUUCAAAUUGGAACAUGAGGGGCGACAGCUAUCCAACCUUCUUUAUCCUCACAAGAGGGGUCAUUUUCUCGCUGAUCCUGCCACUCGACAGAAACGUCUCAAGAUAGUGGAGGACAAGAUCCAAAGAAGGAACACACAACUCAACUCGUCACAAGAUGCGACAUCAUCUUCCUCUGACAAUCAACAGAUGACUGAUGACUCACAAGGAGGAAGUGCUUUCUCAUCUCAACAUCAGACAUUACUUGGCAAGAAGUUUGUCCAUCCAGAUGAUCCCAUCAACCAUCUAGAUGCCAUCGCUGCCGGGCUUUUUGGCAAGACCAAUGAAGAUAAACAACUUGGAAAUGUUUCACCAAGACGAGGAAAUACCACGUCCCUCAUGGGCGAACCCACCAGAGGAUGCAGUCCCGGUUGCCGUGACGACGGUCCUCAUCCCACAGAAGAGGGAGGGGUCAUUAACGAGUGCACCUCCAAGGAGAAAUCAGUGGGUAUCUUCAGAGAGGGAUUAAGAGCAGAGUGUACAUCAGAGUCCGUCGGCGAGGAAUCAGUCACGGGACAUGCUACUCACAUCGGCCAAGCUAGACAUCUAACUAAGCAGGGAGUGUCCCUAGAGGGCGCACCCAAGGAGGGGAUUACAAAUUGUGCCACGGGGGGUUUAGAGACGAGAGAGAAAUCACGUCUUGUCCCGGGAGUGGAGGGGGAAUGCAUCGGUGGACAAGGUGAAGAUAACGAGCCCCGUAGGCUGAUCGACGUCAUCAGACCUUUGUCACGAGAGGAUUUAUUGCUGCAUCGUCUCAGUCAGGAUGACAUUUGUAGGAUGGAGCGCUUUGCAAACUACUCACCGGGCCAACCAAGCAAGGUUCUGUACCUUAAGAACCUGUCAAGUAAGGUCACAGAGGCUGAUCUAGCAUCACUCUUCAUCAGUUUCCAACAUCCUGACAAACCUAAGAUCCUCUUCAAACUUCUUAAAGGAAAGAUGAGAGGUCAAGCUUUCGUGACCUUUGCAGACACAGAAACGGCAGCUGAUGCGAUGGCACAUGCGAAUGGUUAUCCAUUGAAAGGGAAACCAGUGAUCAUACAGUAUGGAAAGAAUAGGUGACAGGGAACCAGCAGAACAUCACAAGAAUCUGUCAAAAAUGAAACCUUUCCCCGGCUUUAUUUUGACACCUCUCAUCAAGCGUCGUCUCUCCAACUGGUGUCUCCUUCAUCAGCACCAUUUACUAUCGUCAGUAGAUAGUGGUAUCAUCACCUACUCUCAUCAGCGUUAAAAGGCUACGGUUCCAAAGUCAACACGCUGGAGUCCAUACAGGUCUGGAGAUUAAUUGAAACAUUCCUAUCAGACUCCUGGACUAUAGAAGCACAAGUGUGACGAACAGGCCAAGGACUCCAUGAAAUCGAAUUAAAUCUGCGCAGAUCCCAACCACUCGUGCAACAACCUGACGAGGAGUGACUGAGGCCUGCAAGGUCGGUUUGAGACGUUUGUCGGAAUCCCCGAGAGAGGGAUAAACUACUCAAUCAAGUGAGGACUAGUGACAACCCAAUCCAAAUAGUAAUCCUGCCGGGAAUCGAACCGGGGCCAACGAGAUUUGGAAGACGUGGACGGUACUAAUCCACCAUUUGCAAUUAUGCGAGGGAGGGGUGGGGUCAUAGGAGAUCACCCCCUCCCGAUUCGGCAACACUUUAGUUAAUCAUGUAUCCGAUUUUGUGAAGGUGUGAGUUGUGUAACGCUCUUCUAACAGCAAUUUACGUUUAUUCUGUAACCGCCAGUGGCUGAUCUGGCAUCGCGUUAAGACCUAGCUCGUAUGGCACGAUUAUAUUAGGCUUUUCAUUUGCUGCUUAGUUUUGGCAUACAGUGAC
rnacentral:misc_RNA from 1 species